rnacentral:rRNA from 1 species
GACGAACGCUGGCGGCGUGCUUAACACAUGCAAGUCGAACGGUGUCUUCGGACAUAGUGGCGCACGGGUGCGUAACACGUAUGCAACCUACCUUACAUUGGGGGAUAGCCUUUCGAAAGGGAGAUUAAUACCGCAUAAGACAGUAGCUGGGCAUCCAGCAGCUGUUAAAGAUUUAUCGAUGUAAGCUGGGCAUGCGUCCAAUUAGCUAGUUGGUGAGGUAACGGCUCACCAAGGCAAUGAUUGGUAGGGGAACUGAGAGGUCAAUCCCCCACACUGGCACUGAGAUACGGGCCAGACUCCUACGGGAGGCAGCAGUAGGGAAUAUUGGGCAAUGGACGCAAGUCUGACCCAGCCAUGCCGCGUGCAGGAUGAAGGCGUUAUGCGUUGUAAACUGCUUUUAUACAGGAAGAAACGACUCUUGCGAGAGGCAUUGACGGUACUGUAUGAAUAAGCACCGGCUAACUCCGUGCCAGCCGCCGCAGUAAAAC